rnacentral:rRNA from 1 species
UACAGAGGUCUCAAGCGUUGUUCGGAUUCAUUGGGCGUAAAGGGUGCGUAGGUGGCGGGGUAAGUCUGAUGUGAAAUCUCCGAGCCUAACUCGGAAACUGCAUCGGAUACUAUUCGGCUAGAGGAUUGGAGGGGGGACUGGAAUACUUGGUGUAGCAGUGAAAUGCGUAGAUAUCAAGUGGAACACCAGUGGCGAAGGCGAGUCCCUGGACAACUCCUGACACUGAGGCACGAAAGCUAGGGGAGCAAACAGG